CAGGUCUUGACAUCCAACUAACGAAGCAGAGAUGCAUUAGGUGCCCUUCGGGGAAAGUUGAGACAGGAAGUUUGAGACAGUGGUGCAUGGUUGUCGUCAGCUCGUGUCGUGAGAUGUUGGGUUAAGUCCCGCAACGAGCGCAACCCUUGUGAUUAGUUGCUACGCAAGAGCACUCUAAUCAGACUGCCGUUGACAAAACGGAGGAAGGUGGGGACGACGUCAAAUCAUCAUGCCCUUUAUGACCUGGGCCACACACGUACUACAAUGGCCGUUAACAGAGGGAAGCAAGACCGCGAGGUGGAGCAAAACCCUAAAAACGGUCCCAGUUCGGAUUGUAGGCUGCAACCCGCCUACAUGAAGUUGGAAUUGCUAGUAAUCGCGGAUCAGAAUGCCGCGGUGAAUACGUUCCCGGGCCUUGUACACACCGCCCGUCACACCAUGGGAGCCGGUAAUACCCGAAGUCAGUAGUCUAACCGCAAGGGGGACGCUGCCGAAGGUAGGAUUGGCGACUGGGGUG
rnacentral:rRNA from 1 species